UGCACUCACUACUGUAAGUCGCUCUGGAUAAGAACAUCUGCUAAAUGACUAAAA
rfam:Salmo salar isolate Sally breed double haploid chromosome ssa16, whole genome shotgun sequence.